UCUUCUGUUAAAUGGAAAAAUUAUUCUUUAGUUUCAGCUUUUGGUGGAUUUUUUCUGAUCUUUAAGAAUGUCAGUUUUCAGUAUCAUGAACUUUGGUACAUACUUGAUUCACCUUCAAACCUGUAUUCAUUUGUAUAAGCUAGUGAGGUGAAAUGUUAUAGAAUAUAGGAUGCUGCAAACGUCUAGUUUUAUUGACACUGACACACAUAACGAUUUACCAUAUUAAGACGUAAAACUUCAGUUUGCAUACGCAUAGAGUUCACCACUUACUUCUUAGAGAUGUCAAACCUAGCUGCUUUGUUUACUUGAGGAGUAAUAUAUGGAAAGUGAUUGUCUUUAAUGUUUUUCUUCCCAUGUGGAGUUUCUAUCAAUCAGAUAUGUUUUUGACCAACUGAAAUCCCCACCAUAAUAAACAGCAUGGCACACAGAGAAAAAACUUUGUGAUACAUAUGUAGUGGAAGUUUGCUAUCUAGGACGACAUAAAGUGUGAAUUUUCUUAUGACCAGUUUAUGGUAUAAGAUUAGAUGGUACAAUCUCAUGAAAUUUGUGUCCAUGGACAGAUUGAGACAAUUUUCAAAGGGAAAGCAUGCCUCGAAAUUAGAGAUUCUGCGACGGGCUUGACAAAGCGGUUGGCGCAAACUGCUCAGGAAACAUUUGGUGAUUUUGAAGAAGCUGUUGAGAAAGAUGCUACAAAGACUGCUGUUCUAGAUGGAACUGUCCACCCACUAACAAGCUAUGUCAUCAAUUAUGUCAAGUUUUUAUUCGAGUAAGUACAUCAUAUAUACUCAACUUAUUUCCUCGAACUAUUUGCGUAUUGUUCUUCUCCAUACUGCUAUUUGCGUAUUGUCCCUUUCCACGCUUUAAUUGAUGAUCAUUGGUGUCAGCUACCAAACAACAUUGAAGCAACUUUUCUUGGAAUUUGGAAAUGGAGAUGACUCAAAUUCGCAGCUAGCAUCCGUAACGAUGCGGAUAAUGCAGGCGCUUCAAAACAACUUGGACGGAAAAUCGAAACAGUACAAAGAUCCUGCAUUGACACACUUGUUCCUGAUGAACAACAUUCAUUACAUGGUCAGAUCUGUGCGCAGGUAUAUUAUUUUUCUCGUUUAAACUUUAAAGGCUGAUCUGGUUUUAUUAAAAAAAUAAAAGAACGCACUCAUUUAGCUUUAUUCAUAUGAUAAUUUUUCAGGUCAGAAGCCAAGGAUUUGUUAGGCGAUGAUUGGGUUCAAAGACAUAGGCGUAUCGUGCAGCAACAUGCAAACCAAUACAAAAGAGUUGCCUGGACAAAGGUUCUGUCUAUUUGUCUAACUCUGUAAAGAAACACUAUUAUAUAAAAUUUCAUUAAAUUGUUACUAAGAAACUGUUACAUAUUUUGUAGAUACUACAAAGCUCAUCGGCGCAAGGUUUGACCUCAUCUGGGGGAGGAAGUUUAGAGGGAGGAAACAGCAGUGGAGUUUCAAGAGGAUUAUUAAAAGAGAGGUAAGUCCUAAACAUGUAAAAUAAACACAGUAAUUGGCAAAUGUUUAUAUAUUUGGUAAUGAUGAUAAAUCUGUAAAAAAAAAAUGGAACAGGUUCAAGAUGUUCAAUAUGCAGUUUGAUGAGUUGCAUCAGAGACAAUCGCAAUGGACAGUUCCAGACACAGAGUUAAGAGAGUCACUAAGACUUGCUGUUGCUGAAGUAUUAUUGCCUGCUUAUAGAUCAUUCCUCAAACGCUUUGGGUAAAAAUCUCCUUUCUCUCUUUACUGCGAAGGCUUUUCUAAUAUUUGAUUGAAAUGUAAAAAAACCUAAAUGAGAUUUUAACCUAUGAUCGAUGCAGGCCUUUGGUUGAGAGUGGGAAGAAUCCUCAGAAAUACAUAAAGUAUACAGCUGAAGAUCUUGAAAGAUUGUUGGGUGAGUUGUUUGAAGGAAAGUCUAUGAAUGAACCACGCCGGUAAAAAAACAACUAAAAGAUGAUGAAAACUAAUUGUGUAAGGUAAAUUUCUAUCAAACUCUUCUUUUUUUUGGCUUACCUUACAUAACUAGGUUCGUUGCUAUUGUAUAUGCAGUGUCAACUUUUCGUUUUUUGUAUUCUACUAUUCUUUGGUUGGAAUGAGAAUGUGUAAAUUACUUGGAGACAGAGUUGUUUCCUUUUGUAUACGUUAAACGUUUUGAAAUAACCAUGGCCUAAUAAGUCUAAUCUCAACUCACAAGGAUAUGAAAUCUUUUUUCUUAGAAUGAAAUUAAUCGGAAAUCAAAAUCCUAGGCGUAAUUUAUAAAAAAAAAUAUGCAGUGAAGGAGCUAAGUUAUAAGUUGAUAUGAUUGACAAUUGCUUUGAGACGAGCUUUGGUACUAAAGAUCGAGCCAAUAAUAUUUGUCCGAACAGCUGAACUAAGCUUGGGGACAAGAUUGUCAUGCGGAUCAAUUCUGUUAUUUUCUUAAUGGAUUUUAGGUGAUUAAUCAGUUGUUAUUGAACAGAACAAGACAGAUAGAGCUCUACCGACUUGCAUACUUAAAUGAAAGAAAUAUGAUUUAUUAGUAAAAUAAAGAGUGAUGAGAUGGUUUUGUUGUUUUAAAACACACAUGUUUGGUAAUUGGCAUAUUCCUUUUAGAAGAUCCAAAUUCUCCCAACAUCUUUACAUGGACUUCCCCAUUUCCAUCAUCUCCUUCCACUUUUUUCCCAAAAUAAUAUAAAAAAAUGAUAAUUUGAAUCGAUGUAAUGAGUGUAUUCAACCUCUUGUAUAAUUUGUCUCCAUGACCAAAGACAAAGAGAGAAGCCAUAAAAACCCUAACAACAUCCAUUGUUGAAACUCUCUUUGGCACAACACCAAACACACAAAAUAUGGCCAUCCCCUAAAGAAACUGAAGCUCAAGAACCCUCUGAAUCUAUCAGAAGAUCUCACCAAUAAAGGGUUUUGAGAGGUUCAAGUUUCUCUUUAUGGGAUGGCCCCAAACACAAGAGUACUCACAAAAGGUAAGAAGAAGAAGAGAUCUCUUGGAGAUUAUGAUUGUGAAUGUUCGUGUGUGGGUGUUGUGUAAAUGAUCAUCAUCAUCAUCAUCAUCAUUAUCCAAUAUCAUAAUUAUCAAUAUGGUGAUGAUGAUGAUGAUGAGGAUUGUGUGUGAAUGGAGCGAUGAAGAUUGCAUGAAGGUUGAUGAAGACAAGCUUGAUGUGUCUUUUGUUAUCCCUCGUUUGGGCAACUUCGAUCCUUUGGCAAGCUUCGGUUCCCCUCGGAAUCAGCAGAUUAUGAUUACUAUAGCUC
rnacentral:lncRNA from 1 species